rnacentral:rRNA from 1 species
AGAGUCUGAGCCAGUGCUCAGGACGAACGCUGGCGGCGUGCCUAAUACAUGCAAGUCGAACGAACUCUGGUAUUGAUUGGUGCUUGCAUCAUGAUUUACAUUUGAGUGAGUGGCGAACUGGUGAGUAACACGUGGGAAACCUGCCCAGAAGCGGGGGAUAACACCUGGAAACAGAUGCUAAUACCGCAUAACAACUUGGACCGCAUGGUCCGAGUUUGAAAGAUGGCUUCGGCUAUCACUUUUGGAUGGUCCCGCGGCGUAUUAGCUAGAUGGUGGGGUAACGGCUCACCAUGGCAAUGAUACGUAGCCGACCUGAGAGGGUAAUCGGCCACAUUGGGACUGAGACACGGCCCAAACUCCUACGGGAGGCAGCAGUAGGGAAUCUUCCACAAUGGACGAAAGUCUGAUGGAGCAACGCCGCGUGAGUGAAGAAGGGUUUCGGCUCGUAAAACUCUGUUGUUAAAGAAGAACAUAUCUGAGAGUAACUGUUCAGGUAUUGACGGUAUUUAACCAGAAAGCCACGGCUAACUACGUGCCAGCAGCCGCGGUAAUACGUAGGUGGCAAGCGUUGUCCGGAUUUAUUGGGCGUAAAGCGAGCGCAGGCGGUUUUUUAAGUCUGAUGUGAAAGCCUUCGGCUCAACCGAAGAAGUGCAUCGGAAACUGGGAAACUCGAGUGCAGAAGAGGACAGUGGAACUCCAUGUGUAGCGGUGAAAUGCGUAGAUAUAUGGAAGAACACCAGUGGCGAAGGCGGCUGUCUGGUCUGUAACUGACGCUGAGGCUCGAAAGUAUGGGUAGCAAACAGGAUUAGAUACCCUGGUAGUCCAUACCGUAAACGAUGAAUGCUAAGUGUUGGAGGGUUUCCGCCCUUCAGUGCUGCAGCUAACGCAUUAAGCAUUCCGCCUGGGGAGUACGGCCGCAAGGCUGAAACUCAAAGGAAUUGACGGGGGCCCGCACAAGCGGUGGAGCAUGUGGUUUAAUUCGAAGCUACGCGAAGAACCUUACCAGGUCUUGACAUACUAUGCAAAUCUAAGAGAUUAGACGUUCCCUUCGGGGACAUGGAUACAGGUGGUGCAUGGUUGUCGUCAGCUCGUGUCGUGAGAUGUUGGGUUAAGUCCCGCAACGAGCGCAACCCUUAUUAUCAGUUGCCAGCAUUAAGUUGGGCACUCUGGUGAGACUGCCGGUGACAAACCGGAGGAAGGUGGGGAUGACGUCAAAUCAUCAUGCCCCUUAUGACCUGGGCUACACACGUGCUACAAUGGAUGGUACAACGAGUUGCGAACUCGCGAGAGUAAGCUAAUCUCUUAAAGCCAUUCUCAGUUCGGAUUGUAGGCUGCAACUCGCCUACAUGAAGUCGGAAUCGCUAGUAAUCGCGGAUCAGCAUGCCGCGGUGAAUACGUUCCCGGGCCUUGUACACACCGCCCGUCACACCAUGAGAGUUUGUAACACCCAAAGUCGGUGGGGUAACCUUUUAGGAACCAGCCGCCUAAGGUGGGACAGAUGAUUAGGGUG